rnacentral:rRNA from 1 species
UGGGGGAAAUUUUUGGACAAUGGGCGAAGGCCUGAUCCAGCAAUGCCGCGUGUGUGAAGAAGGCCUUCGGGUUGUAAAGCACUUUUGUCCGGAAAGAAAUCCUUGGCUCUAAUACAGUCGGGGGAUGACGGUACCGGAAGAAUAAGCACCGGCUAACUACGUGCCAGCAGCCGCGGUAAUACGUAGGGUGCAAGCGUUAAUCGGAAUUACUGGGCGUAAAGCGUGCGUAGGCGGUUUGCUAAGACCGAUGUGAAAUCCCCGGGCUCAACCUGGGAACUGCAUUGGUGACUGGCAGGCUAGAGUAUGGCAGAGGGGGGUAGAAUUCCACGUGUAGCAGUGAAAUGCGUAGAGAUGUGGAGGAAUACCGAUGGCGAAGGCAGCCCCCUGGGCCAAUACUGACGCUCAUGCACGAAAGGCGUGGGGAGCAAACAGGAUUAGAUACCCUGGUAGUCCACGCCCUAAACGAUGUCAACUAGUUGUUGGGGAUUCAUUUCCUUAGUAACGUAGCUAACGCGUGAAGUUGACCG